AAGGAGGGAGGGAAGGAGGGAGGGAGGGAGGGAGGGAGGGAAAGUUGUUUGCUGAGGGUUUUAUAUUAAGAUGCACUGAAACCAGCAGCACUGUGGGAUGGCAGUGGAAGUGAAUGAGACAGGGGAAAGGAAAGAUUAGAAUAAAUUCUGGUGUGUGUUGAUUCUAGUGCUGGUGGCUCCUAUCUGUAAUCCUAACUACUCAGAUGCUGAAGAUCAUGAUUGCAGGUUUUAAAACAGCUCAGACAUCAUCUUCAAAAUAACUUGCAAAAACCCAGACUGGAAGCAUAUCUCAAGUAGUAGAGUACUAGCUCAAGUGAGUAAGCCAAAUAAGCGGAAGGACUUGAGUUUAAACCCAGCACUUCAAAAAAACCCAUACCCCCAACUUUUCAUGUCACAAAGGGAUAAAAUAUUCAAGUUAUUUGAAAAUACUGUUGUUGAGUGGACUUUUUAACAACCUCUGAAAUUGAACAACAAAUUUUAUAAAUACUGCAAGAGUAUAAGACAUAGUCUCUGCAAUCAGGGGAGUAAAUUUUCAUUUGGGAAGAAAAAAAAGAUGAACAAAUAUAGUUAACAUAUAGUACAUAACCCAUGAAUUCUAAAUUCCACAUUACAAACUACAAAUCUAUAGGACUUAAAAGAUCAAAAUUGGUGAUAAAAAUCUAUCUUUUCCUCUCCCACCUACUUCUUAUUAUCCUAACUUUCCUUUUUAUUAAGCCAGAGGGUAGAGUAUA